UACGUAGGGGGCAAGCGUUGUCCGGAUUUAUUGGGCGUAAAGAGCGUGUAGGCGGCCUGACAGGUCUGCUGUGAAAACUCGAGGCUCAACCUCGAGAUGUCGGCGGAAACCGUCUGGCUAGAGUCCGGAAGAGGAGAGUGGAAUUCCUGGUGUAGCGGUGAAAUGCGCAGAUAUCAGGAAGAACACCUAUGGCGAAGGCAGCUCUCUGGGACGGUACUGACGCUGAGACGCGAAAGCGUGGGAGCGAACAGG
rnacentral:rRNA from 1 species